rnacentral:rRNA from 1 species
UAAGGAAUAUUGGACAAUGGAGGCAACUCUGAUCCAGCCAUGCCGCGUGAAGGAAUAAGGCCCUAUGGGUUGUAAACUUCUUUUAGACGGGACAAAACCCCUUUACGUGUAAAGGGUUGAUGGUACUGUCAGAAUAAGCAUCGGCUAACUUCGUGCCAGCAGCCGCGGUAAUACGAAGGAUGCAAGCGUUAUCCGGAAUUAUUGGGUUUAAAGGGUGCGUAGGCGGACUAAUAAGUCAGUGGUGAAAGCCUGCAGCUUAACUGCAGAAUUGCCAUUGAUACUGUUAGUCUUGAGUACAGUUGAGGUAGGCGGAAUGUGUCAUGUAGCGGUGAAAUGCUUAGAUAUGACACAGAACACCGAUUGCGAAGGCAGCUUGCUAAGCUGUAACUGACGCUGAGGCACGAAAGUGUGGGGAUCAAACA